UACGUAGGCAGCAAGCGUUGUUCGGAGUUACUGGGCGUAAAGGGUGUGUAGGCGGUUGGAUAAGUGUGGUGUGAAAUCUCCCGGCUUAACUGGGAGGGUGCGCUACAAACUGUCUGACUAGAGUGUGGGAUGGGUAAGUGGAAUUCCUGGUGUAGCGGUGAAAUGCGUAGAUAUCGUUUGGAACGCCAAUGGUGAAAACAGGUUGCUGGGAGUGCGCUGACGCUGAGACACGAAAGCCAGGGGAGCGAACGGG
rnacentral:rRNA from 1 species